rnacentral:snRNA from 1 species
GAGGGCAAUCUGGUUGCAGCACCUGUCACCUCACUUAUCACCAGGGUUGAUUCGGCUGAUGUGGCUGGCUAGGUGGAUGUCCCCUUUCUCCCUCACCGCUCCCUCCCGAAGCUGCGCGCUCGGUUGAAGAGGACGGCCUUCCACAAAUAGCGACGGGACUGGUCUCCAACCAGUCUUCAGUUAAGGGUAGAACCU